AUGGGCUCAUGGGGUCCAAGCAGAGGAAGAAUUGUUGGGGCACCACCAGAGUGCAUGCACAAAUUAUCUUCAAUUGUAAGAUAUGUACUCCAAUUGUCUCCCUCUAUCACUACACAAAGCUUUGUCAAGGACACAAACUGCCAAAAGAAAACCAGAGUGCAUGAAUUUUUCUUUGCAAGCGAUCAGAAAGGAAUUGGAUGCUCCUUGCUCUGCAGACUGCAGAGGGGCCCAAAACGCUUGACUUGCCUCCAGAUUCAAAUCCGUACACUCCAAUUUCUUCCAUCUCUUUUCUCUUUUUAA
rnacentral:lncRNA from 1 species